AUACGUAGGGGGCGAGCGUUGUCCGGAAUGAUUGGGCGUAAAGGGCGCGUAGGCGGCCCGGUAAGUCUGGGGUGAAAGUCCUGUUUUUAAGAUGGGAAUUGCUUUGGAUACUGUCGGGCUUGAGUGCAGGAGAGGUAAGUGGAAUUCCCAGUGUAGCGGUGAAAUGCGUAGAGAUUGGGAGGAACACCAGUGGCGAAGGCGACUUACUGGACUGUAACUGACGCUGAGGCGCGAAAGUGUGGGGAGCAAACAGGAUUAGAUACCCUGGUAGUCCACACUGUAAACGAUGAAUGCUAGGUGUAGGGGGUAUCGACCCCUUCUGUGCCGCAGUCAACACAAUAAGCAUUCCGCCUGGGGAGUACGGCCGCAAGGUUGAAACUCAAAGGAAUUGACGGGG
rnacentral:rRNA from 1 species